rnacentral:lncRNA from 1 species
AUUCUGCCGCCCAUUUUACCCGCGGGGAAGCUGAGGCCCAGUGCUGUUUAAUAUCUUACUCAUGUUCACUUGAUGAGAAAGUGACAGAUCUGAGACAAACCCAGAGGUUAUGACACCAGCCAUGGAAGAGCAGAGAGGCCAAUGAGGUGGGGAGGUUGGAAACAAAAGGCCUUCUCCACCCCAGCUUGACCAACCCAAAAGCUGGAAGGCAAGGAAGACCUAGAAUUCCAUUUUCUGGAUGUACCACAGUUCAUUCAACCAUCCCCUACUAAUGGACACUUAAGAUCGACAGAAAAGAAAUGAGUCAACGAUGGUGCAGGUGAUCUGUGCAGUGCUGUGCAGGGGAUGGGUCAAAGCUGUGAUGCUGGCAUGCAACUAACUCACCAUUGUGAGCCAAUCACAAAAGCAGAAACUUGGCCAAGCUGAAAGGGACCAGCUUGACGAAGCUUCUGCUUUUGUGACUGUCUCCUAAUGAAACCAGAGCACCUCAGAAGAUCAAGGCUUCCAAAUUCUCCUGGGGGAACAGACGUCAGCCAUUCAGCACAAAGGAAACUUCCUUCUCUGUAUGUCAGAGGAAGACAUAAUUGUGCCAUUUCCUUCUUGAAGAAGUUUACAAACAUUUGCAAGUUGUCAAAAAUAAUUAGUCUAAAAUUGUUUCAUAAACCGUGGAAUGAAACAGGACGUGCCUUGUUGAGAUCAAAGGGCUUCUGUUACCUUCUUGUAAACUCAAAUGAAAUUCUUUUGAAAGUAAA